GAUGAAGAACGUAGCGAAAUGCGAUACGUAAUGUGAAUUGCAGAAUUCAGUGUAUCAUCGAAUCUUUGAACGCAUAUUGCGCUCUCUGGUAUUCCGGAGAGCAUGCUUGUUUGAGUAUCAGUAAACACCUCAACUCCCUUUUCUUUUUUGAAAUUGGAGCUGGACUUGAGUGAUCCCAACGCUUUCUUCCAAGAAAGUGGCGGGUUGCUUGAAAUGCAGGUGCAGCUGAACUUUUCUCUGAGCUAUAAGCAUAUCUAUUUAGUCUGCCUAAAAAACAGAUUAUUACCUUUGCUGCAGCUAACAUAAAGGAGACUAGUUCUUGUGCUGACUGAUGCAGGAUUCACAGAGACAGCUUCGGCUGACUUUGUAAACUCGAUCUCAAAUCAAGUAAGACUACCCGCUGAACUUAAGCAUAUCAAUAAGCGGAGGA
rnacentral:misc_RNA from 1 species